GGGGACGUAAGGCUUUCGACAGAAGUCAUAGGGGCUGUUUGUCACAAAUCGUUUUUUAGUUCGUAAAACUAAAGCACAGAUAAGUGUAGAAAACAAACUUAACGCUUUUGCAAGUAAGCUAAGGGCUGCAUUCACUGCACCUUUAUAUGCUUACAAUUUUGCUUAAGUCUAGCUGAUUAAGUUCGGUUAGUGUCUAACACUUCUAUCUCUAGUUAGUGUGUUAGAUAGUCGUUACUAGGGUAUAGCUACUAUCUCUUGUCAGUAGGGGAUAUUAGUUGAAUACAAUUACUGAGCAAACAGAGUUUUUUGUUAGAUUUUUAGCUUUGUUUGGCUAUAUAAAUCUAAAUACAUUUGUAUAUGGCACAGUUCUUAACUUUUGGACGUGGGUUCGAAUCCCACCGUCUCCACCA
rnacentral:tmRNA from 1 species